UAGGGAAUCUUCGGCAAUGGACGAAAGUCUGACCGAGCAACGCCGCGUGAGUGAAGAAGGUUUUCGGAUCGUAAAACUCUGUUGUUAGAGAAGAACAAGGACGUUAGUAACUGAACGUCCCCUGACGGUAUCUAACCAGAAAGCCACGGCUAACUACGUGCCAGCAGCCGCGGUAAUACGUAGGUGGCAAGCGUUGUCCGGAUUUAUUGGGCGUAAAGCGAGCGCAGGCGGUUUCUUAAGUCUGAUGUGAAAGCCCCCGGCUCAACCGGGGAGGGUCAUUGGAAACUGGGCGGCUUGAGUGCAGAAGAGGAGAGUGGAAUUCCAUGUGUAGCGGUGAAAUGCGUAGAUAUAUAGAGGAACACCAGUGGCGAAGGCGGCUCUCUGGUCUGUAACUGACGCUGAGGCUCGAAAGCGUGGGGAGCAAACAGG
rnacentral:rRNA from 1 species